rnacentral:rRNA from 1 species
UACGGAGAGUGCAAGCGUUGUUCGGAAUCAUUGGGCGUAAAGGGCAUCUAGGUGGCGCAUCAAGUCAGAUGUGAAAUCCCUCGGCUUAACCGAGGACGUGCAUUUGAAACUGGUGUGCUUGAGUACUGGAGGGGGCAGCGGAAUUCCCGGUGUAGAGGUGAAAUUCGUAGAUAUCGGGAGGAACACCAGUGGCGAAGGCGGCUGCCUGGUCAGAUACUGACACUGAAGUGCGAAAGCGUGGGGAGCAAAC